UUGGCAGAAGCCAAAUAGCGGCCUAUCACUGUUAAUGAUAAAAUUGAAUAUUUCCUGUCAAA
rnacentral:tRNA from 2 species